rnacentral:rRNA from 1 species
UCCUACUUCUUUACGGGGGCAGCAGUAGGGAAUCUUCCGCAAUGGACGAAAGUCUGACGGAGCAACGCCGCGUGAGUGAUGAAGGUUUUCGGAUCGUAAAGCUCUGUUGCCAGGGAAGAAUGCUUGGGAGAGUAACUGCUCCCAAGGUGACGGUACCUGAGAAGAAAGCCCCGGCUAACUACGUGCCAGCAGCCGCGGUAAUACGUAGGGGGCAAGCGUUGUCCGGAAUUAUUGGGCGUAAAGCGCGCGCAGGCGGCCUUGUAAGUCUGUUGUUUAAACUUGGGCUCAACCCCAAGUCGCAAUGGAAACUGCAAAGCUUGAGUACAGAAGAGGAAAGUGGAAUUCCACGUGUAGCGGUGAAAUGCGUAGAGAUGUGGAGGAACACCAGUGGCGAAGGCGACUUUCUGGGCUGUAACUGACGCUGAGCGCGUAGCUACCCUC